rnacentral:tRNA from 1 species
GCGGCGUAGCUCAGUGGUUAGAGCGAUCGGAUCAUAACCGAUGGGUCGGGGGUUCAAAUCCCUCCGCCG